UGGUCUUUCAUUGCCUGAAUUCUACUAAAAUGCCACUAACUCGACAUAGAAGAAUUCAGUUCCCACAGCUUAGUUUUUUUUAUCUUUGCUUUUUAGGAAAAAGAAAAGAAAAGAAAAAGAAAAAAAAAAAAAGCCGUACUUGGAAAAUGCUAACCAAACAGUACCUAAGUCUACAACCAAACUCUCAAUCUUUUGGGAAGUAAAAAAAGAAAAGUGCCAGAUCACUUUCUUCAACAUCCUUUCUAAAAAUUAGAUUCCUCUGAAAGCCGCCAUAAAAGGCUACUAGCUCUUAUCGAAAAAUAAGAAAA